rnacentral:rRNA from 1 species
CCUACGGGUGGCAGCAGUGAGGAAUAUUGGUCAAUGGCCGGGAGGCUGAACCAGCCAAGUCGCGUGAGGGAAGACGGCCCUACGGGUUGUAAACCUCUUUUGUCAGGGAGCAAGGUGCAGGUCGGGACCUGCUGUGAGAGUACCUGAAGAAAAAGCAUCGGCUAACUCCGUGCCAGCAGCCGCGGUAAUACGGAGGAUGCGAGCGUUAUCCGGAUUUAUUGGGUUUAAAGGGUGCGCAGGCGGAGGCACAAGGCAGCGGUAAAAUCGCGGGGCUCAAACCCGCUUCGCCGUUGAAACUGUGGCCCUUGAGUGCGCGAAGGGUAGGCGGAAUGCGUGGUGUAGCGGUGAAAUGCAUAGAUAUCACGCAGAACUCCGAUUGCGAAGGCAGCAUACCGGCGCCCAACUGACGCUGAAGCACGAAAGCGUGGGUAUCGAACAGGAUUAGAUACCCGAGUAGUC